CAUGCUUUAAUUAUAAAGUAAAAAUGUUGGGAUAACACUUUGAUUCAAGUGGGAUAAAAUUCUUGAGCAAGUCAUUAUCCUAAUUCUACAAAUAACUCACGCACACACCCUCCCUUCUCUUCCCCAUUCUCGGCCUCCCCUCUCUCUCUCUAUACUCUCUUUUCCUCCAUUGAUGUCCAUUCAAGAAAGCUUAGAGAAGCUUCAUCAAACACUACUAUGAGAUAAUCCACCAUCCAAUCCAACCAAAUACUAUCAUAUCUCAUCAAAUUCAAGAAGCUAGAGCUAAGAUCAAAGUUGGAGCAAAGUCUUGAUCACCUUUUAAAUCCUUGAACACGAGAAGAGCAAGGAAGUAAGUAACUCCACUUUGACGGGAGAUUUUGAGUAAGGUCUUCAGGAUAAGCGGAGGGGGAGUAUGGUGCGGUGCUGGUGGAGAAUGUUUCGGGUUGACGUUUUCUUUCUCUAUCGUAUGUCUGUUUUGUC